rnacentral:rRNA from 1 species
AACGAACGCUGGCGGCAUGCCUAACACAUGCAAGUCAAACGAGAGCUUAGGGCCUAGCGGCGCACGGGUGCGUGACGAGUGGGGCCAUGCGCUUAGGUUCGGAAUAACUCCCCGCCAGGGGUGCUAUAAUAGGACAAUGUCCUCGGACCAAAGAUGUAUCGCCUUUAGUUGGGACCGCGUCUGAUUAGCUAGUUGGUAGGGUAAAAGCCUACCAAGGCGAAGAUCCAUAGCUGAUCUGAGAGGAUGAGCAGCCACACUGGGACUGAGACCCGGCCCAGACGCGUACAGGAGGGAGCAGUGGGGAAUAGUGUACAGUGGGCGAAAGCCUGAGCCAGCAAGGCCGCGUGAGUUAUGAAGGCCUGAGGGUUGUAAAGCUCUUUUACCCGGGAUGAGAAUGACGGUACCGGGAGAAUAAGCUCCGGCUAACUCCGUG